rnacentral:tRNA from 1 species
ACAGGUAUAGCUCAGUGGUAGAGUGCGUGCUUAGCAUACACGAGGUCCUGGGUUCAAUCCCCAGUCCCUCCA